rnacentral:rRNA from 1 species
GGGUUGUGAGGUUAAGCGACUAAGCGUACACGGUGGAUGCCCUGGCAGUCAGAGGCGAUGAAGGACGUGCUAAUCUGCGAAAAGCGCCGGCGAGGUGAUAUGAACCCUUGACCCGGCGAUGUCCGAAUGGGGAAACCCAGUGCAAUCCGUUGCACUAUCGUUAACUGAAUACAUAGGUUAACGAGGCGAACCGGGGGAACUGAAACAUCUAAGUACCCCGAGGAAAAGAAAUCAACCGAGAUUCCCCAGUAGCGGCGAGCGAACGGGGAGCAGCCCAGAGUCUGAAUCAGCUUGUGUGUUAGUGGAAGCGUCUGGAAAGUCGCACGGUACAGGGUGAAAGUCCCGUACACGAAAAUGCACAGGCUGUGAACUCGAAGAGUAGGGCGGGACACGUGGUAUCCUGUCUGAAUAUGGGGGACCAUCCUCCAAGGCUAAAUACUCCUGACUGACCGAUAGUGAACCAGUACCGUGAGGGAAAGGCGAAAAGAACCCCGGCGAGGGGAGUGAAAAAGAACCUGAAACCGUGUACGUACAAGCAGUGGGAGCACCUUCGUGGUGUGACUGCGUACCUUUUGUAUAAUGGGUCAGCGACUUAUAUUCUGUAGCAAGGUUAACCGUAUAGGGGAGCCGAAGGGAAACCGAGUCUUAACUGGGCGUUAAGUUGCAGGGUAUAGACCCGAAACCCGGUGAUCUAGCCAUGGGCAGGUUGAAGGUUGGGUAACACUAACUGGAGGACCGAACCGACUAAUGUUGAAAAAUUAGCGGAUGACCUGUGGCUGGGGGUGAAAGGCCAAUCAAACCGGGAGAUAGCUGGUUCUCCCCGAAAGCUAUUUAGGUAGCGCCUCGUGAACUCAUCUUCGGGGGUAGAGCACUGUUUCGGCUAGGGGGCCAUCCCGGCUUACCAACCCGAUGCAAACUACGAAUACCGAAGAAUGUUAUCACGGGAGACACACGGCGGGUGCUAACGUCCGUCGUGAAGAGGGAAACAACCCAGACCGCCAGCUAAGGUCCCAAAGUCAUGGUUAAGUGGGAAACGAUGUGGGAAGGCCCAGACAGCCAGGAUGUUGGCUUAGAAGCAGCCAUCAUUUAAAGAAAGCGUAAUAGCUCACUGGUCGAGUCGGCCUGCGCGGAAGAUGUAACGGGGCUAAACCAUGCACCGAAGCUGCGGCAGCGACGCUUAUGCGUUGUUGGGUAGGGGAGCGUUCUGUAAGCCGUUGAAGGUGGCCUGUGAGGGUUGCUGGAGGUAUCAGAAGUGCGAAUGCUGACAUAAGUAACGAUAAAGCGGGUGAAAAGCCCGCUCGCCGGAAGACCAAGGGUUCCUGUCCAACGUUAAUCGGGGCAGGGUGAGUCGACCCCUAAGGCGAGGCCGAAAGGCGUAGUCGAUGGGAAACAGGUUAAUAUUCCUGUACUUGGUGUUACUGCGAAGGGGGACGGAGAAGGCUAUGUUAGCCGGGCGACGGUUGUCCCGGUUUAAGCAUGUAGGCGGAGGUUCCAGGUAAAUCCGGUACCUUUUAACGCUGAGGUGUGAUGACGAGGCACUACGGUGCUGAAGUAACAAAUGCCCUGCUUCCAGGAAAAGCCUCUAAGCAUCAGGUAACACGAAAUCGUACCCCAAACCGACACAGGUGGUCAGGUAGAGAAUACCAAGGCGCUUGAGAGAACUCGGGUGAAGGAACUAGGCAAAAUGGUGCCGUAACUUCGGGAGAAGGCACGCUGAUAUGUAGGUGAAGCCCCUGCGGGUGGAGCUGAAAUCAGUCGAAGAUACCAGCUGGCUGCAACUGUUUAUUAAAAACACAGCACUGUGCAAACACGAAAGUGGACGUAUACGGUGUGACGCCUGCCCGGUGCCGGAAGGUUAAUUGAUGGGGUUAGCGGUAACGCGAAGCUCUUGAUCGAAGCCCCGGUAAACGGCGGCCGUAACUAUAACGGUCCUAAGGUAGCGAAAUUCCUUGUCGGGUAAGUUCCGACCUGCACGAAUGGCGUAAUGAUGGCCAGGCUGUCUCCACCCGAGACUCAGUGAAAUUGAACUCGCUGUGAAGAUGCAGUGUACCCGCGGCAAGACGGAAAGACCCCGUGAACCUUUACUAUAGCUUGACACUGAACACUGGUCCUUGAUGUGUAGGAUAGGUGGGAGGCUUUGAAGCGUGGACGCCAGUCUGCGUGGAGCCAUCCUUGAAAUACCACCCUUUAAUGGCUGGUGUUCUAACGUAGACCCGUAAUCCGGGUUGCGGACAGUGUCUGGUGGGUAGUUUGACUGGGGCGGUCUCCUCCCAAAGAGUAACGGAGGAGCACGAAGGUUAGCUAAUCCUGGUCGGACAUCAGGAGGUUAGUGCAAUGGCAUAAGCUAGCUUGACUGCGAGAGUGACGGCUCGAGCAGGUGCGAAAGCAGGUCAUAGUGAUCCGGUGGUUCUGAAUGGAAGGGCCAUCGCUCAACGGAUAAAAGGUACUCCGGGGAUAACAGGCUGAUACCGCCCAAGAGUUCAUAUCGACGGCGGUGUUUGGCACCUCGAUGUCGGCUCAUCACAUCCUGGGGCUGAAGUAGGUCCCAAGGGUAUGGCUGUUCGCCAUUUAAAGUGGUACGCGAGCUGGGUUUAGAACGUCGUGAGACAGUUCGGUCCCUAUCUGCCGUGGGCGCUGGAGAAUUGAGGGGGGCUGCUCCUAGUACGAGAGGACCGGAGUGGACGCAUCACUGGUGUUCGGGUUGUCAUGCCAAUGGCACUGCCCGGUAGCUAAAUGCGGAAGAGAUAAGUGCUGAAAGCAUCUAAGCACGAAACUUGCCCCGAGAUGAGUUCUCCCUGACUCCUUGAGAGUCCUGAAGGAACGUUGAAGACGACGACGUUGAUAGGUCGGGUGUGUAAGCGCAGCGAUGCGUUGAGCUAACCGAUACUAAUGAACCGUGAGGCUUAACCUUACAACGCCGAAGGUGUUU